AACGAACGCUGGCAGCAGGCUUAACACAUGCAAGUCGAACGCACCGCAAGGUGAGUGGCAGACGGGUGAGUAACACGUGGGAACAUUCCUUUCAGUUCGGAAUAACUCAGGGAAACUUGAGCUAAUACCGGAUACGUCCGUGAGGAGAAAGAUUUAUCGCUGAAAGAUUGGCCCGCGUCUGAUUAGCUAGUUGGUGAGGUAACGGCUCACCAAGGCGACGAUCAGUAGCUGAUCUGAGAGGAUGAUCAGCCACAUUGGGACUGAGACACGGCCCAAACUCCUACGGGAGGCAGCAGUGGGGAAUAUUGGACAAUGGGCGCAAGCCUGAUCCAGCCAUGCCGCGUGAGUGAUGAAGGCCUUCGGGUUGUAAAGCUCUUUUGUCCGGGAAGAUAAUGACUGUACCGGAAGAAUAAGCCCCGGCAAACUUCGUGCCAGCCGCCGCCGUAAUAC
rnacentral:rRNA from 1 species